AGCUCUCCGAGUGGUGUGGAUGUUUAUUGGGCCUAAAGCAUCCGUAGCUGGCUAAGUUAGUCCCUUGUUAAAUCCACCGAAUUAAUCGUUGGAUUGCGGGGGAUACUGCUUGGCUAGGGGACGAGAGAGGCAGACGGUAUUUUUGGGGUAGGGGUGAAAUCCUAUAAUCCCAGGAAGACCACCAGUGGCGAAGGCUGUCUGCUAGAACGCGCCCGACGGUGAGGGAUGAAAGCUGGGGGAGCGAACC
rnacentral:rRNA from 1 species